rnacentral:rRNA from 1 species
AGUGUACCCGCGGCAAGACGGAAAGACCCCGUGAACCUUUACUAUAGCUUGACACUGAACAUUGAGCCUUGAUGUGUAGGAUAGGUGGGAGGCUUUGAAGUGUGGACGCCAGUCUGCAUGGAGCCGGCCUUGAAAUACCACCCUUUAAUGUUUGAUGUUCUAACGUGGACCCGUGAUCCGGGUUGCGGACAGUGUCUGGUGGGUAGUUUGACUGGGGCGGUCUCCUCCUAAAGAGUAACGGAGGAGCACGAAGGUUGGCUAAUCCUGGUCGGACAUCAGGAGGUUAGUGCAAUGGCAUAAGCCAGCUUGACUGCGAGCGUGACGGCGCGAGCAGGUGCGAAAGCAGGUCAUAGUGAUCCGGUGGUUCUGAAUGGAAGGGCCAUCGCUCAACGGAUAAAAGGUACUCCGGGGAUAACAGGCUGAUACCGCCCAAGAGUUCAUAUCGACGGCGGUGUUUGGCACCUCGAUGUCGGCUCAUCACAUCCUGGGGCUGAAGUAGGUCCCAAGGGUAUGGCUGUUCGCCAUUUAAAGUGGUACGCGAGCUGGGUUUAGAACGUCGUGAGACAGUUCGGUCCCUAUCUGCCGUGGGCGCUGGAGAACUGAGGGGGGCUGCUCCUAGUACGAGAGGACCGGAGUGGACGCAUCACUGGUGUUCGGGUUGUCAUGCCAAUGGCACUGCCCGGUAGCUAAAUGCGGAAGAGAUAAGUGCUGAAAGCAUCUAAGCACGAAACUUGCCCCGA